rnacentral:rRNA from 1 species
UAGGGAAUCUUCCGCAAUGGGCGAAAGCCUGACGGAGCAACGCCGCGUGAGUGAUGAAGGUCUUCGGAUCGUAAAACUCUGUUAUUAGGGAAGAACAAAUGUGUAAGUAACUAUGCACGUCUUGACGGUACCUAAACAGAAAGCCACGGCUAACUACGUGCCAGCAGCCGCGGUAAUACGUAGGUGGCAAGCGUUAUCCGGAAUUAUUGGGCGUAAAGCGCGCGUAGGCGGUUUUUUAAGUCUGAUGGGAAAGCCCACGGCUCAACCGUGGAGGGUCAUUGGAAACUGGAAAACUUGAGUGCAGAAGAGGAAAGUGGAAUUCCAUGUGUAGCGGUGAAAUGCGCAGAGAUAUGGAGGAACACCAGUGGCGAAGGCGACUUUCUGGUCUGUAACUGACGCUGAUGUGCGAAAGCGUGGGGAUCAAACAGG